rnacentral:lncRNA from 1 species
UCGUGGAAGAGAGAACGUGGUAGCUGACGCGUUGAGUAGAAGAUCGUAUGCGUUUACGAGUGCGAUGUUAUUAACACAAAAAAUCAUUUUGUAUAACUUACAAAUGAUGAAGAUAGAGUUAAAGACUCUAGGGACCCACAUGAAGAUAACAAAUAUACGAGUAGAAUCGACUUUAAUCGAUAAAGUUAAAGUCGCUCAAGCUACACACCCGAAUCUGAUGAAUGUGAAGAAGAAGGUUCAAUAAGGCGUUAUCUUAACCCUCGAUUUAAUUGGCC